UAGGGAAUCUUCGGCAAUGGACGAAAGUCUGACCGAGCAACGCCGCGUGAGUGAAGAAGGUUUUCGGAUCGUAAAACUCUGUUGUUAGAGAAGAACAAGGACGUUAGUAACUGAACGUCCCCUGACGGUAUCUAACCAUAAAGCCACGGCUAACUACGUGCCAGCAGCCGCGGUAAUACGUAGGUGGCAAGCGUGGUCCGGUUUUAUUGGGCGUAAAGCGAGCGCAGGCGGUUACUUAAGUCUGAUGUGAAAGCCCCCGGCUCAACCGGGGAGGGUCAUUGGAAACUGGGAGACUUGAGUGCAGAAGAGGAGAGUGGAAUUCCAUGUGUAGCGGUGAAAUGCGUAGAUAUAUGGAGGAACACCAGUGGCGAAGGCGGCUCUCUGGUCUGUAACUGACGCUGAGGCUCGAAAGCGUGGGGAGCAAACAGG
rnacentral:rRNA from 1 species